GUGCUCGAGUGGCGAACGGGUGAGUAACACGUGAGUAACCUGCCCUUGACUUUGGGAUAACUUCAGGAAACUGGGGCUAAUACCGGAUAGGAGCUCCUGCUGCAUGGUGGGGGUUGGAAAGUUUCGGCGGUUGGGGAUGACUCGCGGCUUAUCAGCUUGUUGGUGGGGUAGUGGCUUACCAAGGCUUUGACGGGUAGCCGGCCUGAGAGGGUGACCGGCCACAUUGGGACUGAGAUACGGCCCAG
rnacentral:rRNA from 1 species